UGGGGAAUAUUGCACAAUGGGCGCAAGCCUGAUGCAGCCAUGCCGCGUGUAUGAAGAAGGCCUUCGGGUUGUAAAGUACUUUCAGCGGGGAGGAAGGUGUUGUGGUUAAUAACCUCAGCAAUUGACGUUACCCGCAGAAGAAGCACCGGCUAACUCCGUGCCAGCAGCCGCGGUAAUACGGAGGGUGCAAGCGUUAAUCGGAAUUACUGGGCGUAAAGCGCACGCAGGCGGUCUGUCAAGUCGGAUGUGAAAUCCCCGGGCUCAACCUGGGAACUGCAUCCGAAACUGGCAGGCUUGAGUCUUGUAGAGGGGGGUAGAAUUCCAGGUGUAGCGGUGAAAUGCGUAGAGAUCUGGAGGAAUACCGGUGGCGAAGGCGGCC
rnacentral:rRNA from 1 species